rnacentral:rRNA from 1 species
UACGUAGGGUGCAAGCGUUAAUCGGAAUUACUGGGCGUAAAGCGUGCGCAGGCGGCUUUGCAAGACAGAUGUGAAAUCCCCGGGCUCAACCCGGGAAUGGCAUUGGAUACUGCAGAUCUGGAGGAUCGGAGGGGGGACUGGAAUUCUUGGUGUAGCAGUGAAAUGCGUAGAUACCAAGAGGAACACCAGUGGCGAAGGCGAGUCCCUGGACGAUACCUGACACUGAGGCACGAAAGCUAGGGGAGCAAACAGG